UUUUUUUUUUUUUUUUUGAGAUGGAGUCUCACUCUGUCACCCAGGCUGGAGUGCAGUGGCACGAUCUCGGCUCACUGCCACCUCCGCCUCCCGGGUUCAAGUAAUUCUCCUGCCUCAGCCUCCUGAGUAGCUGGGACUGCAGGUGCCCGCCACCGCUCCCGGCUAAUGUUUUGUAUUUUUAGUAGAGACAGGGUUUCACCGUGUUAGCCAGGAUGGUCUCGAUCUCCUGACCUCAAGUGAUCCGCCCGCCUCGGCCUCCCAAAGUGUUGGGAUUACGGGCAUGAGUCACCGCACCUGGCCACCAAGUGACAUCUUGAUACAUCUCCUGAGAUCUCUGUCUUGGAGGAAAAUGGAGUAUCCACACAGGGAUAAACUCAGCCUCUUAGACUUCUGGAGUUGGGGGGCCUUCCUGCAGCCUAGUACUGGAGUGUUGACGGGGGACUAGGGGUCACAUGGGUAAGGAGAGGUCGAGGUCAGCCAUAGGCACCUGAGAUCCCUGCAAGCAACCGAAGGCUAUCCCCGAAAGAGCAGGUGCGGGAUAUGGCGAGGCUGCCCUAGAGUCACUGUCCCUGAACAGGCCAGGAGCCCUGAGCUGGGGAUACCUACAGAAUAUUCCUCCAUAGCACCUAGGGCUUUGGGGAGAAGGAGAGAUAGAAGCUUCCUUCUUGUUGGUUCAGCCUCUGGGAAGGUGCUCUGACCUCCUGUUGACAUUCUAAAUUGGCCCUUCUCCUGGGUCAACCUCUCAGGAGCCUCUAAGGAAGGAGCCUGGAGCAAUCGACAUGCCCCGCCAUCCUUGCCCUGCCGUCCCCAGCAGCAUCUGUAUGAAGCUGUUAGGUUCAAAGGAAGGAGAGGGGAGAAGAGGAAUUCUGCCAGUUUUUCCCACUUCUUGAGAAACAAAAGCCACCCAGAGAGACAACUCGGUCCAAAAGUAAAGAAAAGAGGGGGAGGGGCAAGAGGGAUGGCUUAGAGGGGGUGUCCAGCUCUUUCUCUGCUUUUCCUUCCAGUGGGGCAAGGGAGGGAAGAAUAUUAAAUAUUAAAAGGAAGAAGUGGUUUCCUAAGACGAUGUAAUUAUUUUCAACAGCCUAAACUCCAUCUGCCAUUUAUCUCUCUUUUCCCAACACAUUUGCGCUGCGUUGAUCACGGCAAACAAGGCCCAGGCAUGCGGGCGUCGGGAACUUUUAUUCGGGGUCCCCAAAGCCAUGGGCAAUUGGGGGUUGGGGGCGGCGAGGGGAUAUUGCAUAAUUCUAAAUGUUGUCACUUGUUCAAAGCAGCACGAGACUUAAAAUGUGGACUUGAAUUGGGGGGGGGGGAGAUAUUAAAAAGUAGAAUUUGACUUAGGUCAGAAAUUCUCAUUCUUGGGAAAACGUCACACGUUCAGGGCAGAUGGCAAAGACAUUGGUUGCUGGGAGGGGGGUUGCCAAGGGCAAUUGAAUGAAAAUGGAUUUUUAAGAAAGAAACAGGAAUACGCUGGAAAUGAAGAGUCUGCCCCCCUUCUUCCCAGCAAGAGAAACUGUUCAGAAACGGGAAGAGGUUCUCAAGACAGAAGCAAGUGAAAUUCAGAAAUAAGCUGCCCACCCGCCAAGAAAAACUCUUCAUAGAGGGAGCAGGGGAAGAUCUUUGUAUUUCUACCUUUGCAGAUGGAGGUAAUUUGCAGCAAGGAAAGAAAACCUAAACUGCCUACAGGACUUUGCCUCCAGCGUCCCCCACUCUCAGAAGCCCCACUCACCUGUCUCGCAUCAGCGCUGGGGCUCAGGCGACGCGGCUAGUGGUCAGCACUGCGAGUCCUCCAGGGGUCCAGAGGGUCCCACCUCGUCAGCACCCAGGGGUCUGAGCCAUCUGAAGUCCAUGCAUCCAUGGCCCAUCCAGUGGAAAGAAGAAGGGUGGCCCAGAGAGAGGAGGGAGGAAAGUGGGUGCCAAGAAAAGCAGUUCUCUGAGCAGAGGGCUCCCCACAAAAGCAGACACUGAACGGGGAUGCUGUACCAGCUGCCAAGGGGAAAAAAAAAAAAAAAAAGGAGGAGGAGGAGGUUUCCCUGAUGCUGGGAGGAGGGAAAGGAGGACCGAUCGUUCUCAGCUCCUGAUCGUUUUAGCGAAGUGCUACAUGGGGACCCAGCCUGGGGAGAUCAAUCCGAGCAGAAACUGAGAGCAAGCCAGCCCACUGCUCCUCAGGGGGUACAAUAAUUUACGAUUUCUUACUCUCUUCUUUACGCCCCUUAACACUGCACCGUGACUUCCCAGCACAGGGCAGAAC
rnacentral:lncRNA from 1 species